UGAGAAAGUGAAAUGUUAAUCCAAUCAUCGUCGUCCUAGGUUGGAUUCUUUACAUGGGAAAUCUGCACGCGAUUGGUGUAUCUUUCUCUCCCUCUCGCUGGUUUCAAAAAAAUUAAUGUGACUUGGUUCUUGCCUCUCCUCUUCCCCCGCGCCAUGCCAUAAAGUUAAUUAUUUAAGCAAAAUGGUACUCAAAAACAAUCAUUUGACUAUCAGUUUCGAUCCUGUUUUCUUUUCAUUCACGUUUGAAUGUGCUUGUGGCUGAUAUUGUGGUUGACAACGAACGAACCAAUCGUCGAGAGGCUACCAAAACCGGAAGUGAAGAGCGAUAAUUUUAAAAAAACAUGAAACCAAAACCGAAAUCGAGAGACGAGAGUGAUAUUAAUCCGGUUUUCAAGUCCUGAAUAAAAAGAUGAAAACCAAUCUAAUUUACAUCGAUCUUAACUCAAAUCUGUAACUAUUCAAAAGUUGAACAAACUUACUUAAAUUAAUUUCUAUAUGUAUUUUAAUUACUCGUAGUUAUAAAUUCAACAUCGAGGAAAUAAUCUAAAUUUUUAAUUUAAUCUAUUAAAUUUAAUUAUCCUAAAGUAAUUUAAUUCCCGUACCCUUCUCGCUUAUUUUUUUAUGGGGAGUUGAAUCUCCCAAAUAGUGGAGGCAAAUUGAAAAAUGUCGUCAUCAACAUAUACCUACCUAGUAGUUGAAAUAACGUAAUAUCGUAACAAAGAGAUUAUUUUUUCUGUUAAUUAGUUAUAUGCGGGGAGCCCACUUAAGGAUAAAUGCACCCCCUCCCCCGUCGAUCCUCCGGGACAACUUUUUUCUUAAAGGGGGAGUCCUAAAGGAACAUUUCUAGCACUUGUGCUCAAAAAAAGUGGCCCACUUACAAAAUGGGGGCCAUUUUGAUUGACAGGUCAGCCGAAAUCGCAGAUUUUGCGUUCCAAAAUAGGACUUGUGCAACAUUUUUCAAACUGUACAAAAGUAGAUCGAAAGAUCAAGCAAAAAUUUAUCACCUGUCAAAAUUUCAAGUGCUCAAGUGCUUUUUUCGAUUUUUGGUGAAUUUUUAAAAACCAAAUUUAGGCCAAAAAUGAGGGGAAAAAUCAAAAUUUUACCAAAUUGACCAAGAUGGCUGAAAUUUGGGAUACACCCUAUUUUCGACAUGCCAAAUUGAUAGGAAACUGUUUCAAACCGUUUUGAGCAGUUCUAGAGCCGCCAGCAGAUUUUUGAAACUCGAAAUUCUCACAUUUAACCAAAAUGGAGUUGGAAAGCUGAAAUUUAUUCUGCAAACUAAUUUCAAUACUCUACGAAGUCGACUGCAGGGGGAUUUCAAGUCAUUUUGGAGCCUUUGGCAACUUUUUGAAAAUUCCUGGAGCAUCCAUCAGAUUUUUGAAACUUUGAAUUUUCACAAAAUUUCAUGAAAUGGAGAUGGAAAGCUGAAUUUUACUCUACACUCCAAUUUUAACACCCUCUGAAGACGACUUCAGGUGGAUUCAAAUCAUUUUGGAGCCUCCAGCGACUUUUUGAAAAUUACUGGGGCCUCCAGUAGAUUUUAAAAACUUGAAAUUCCCGCAACAUUUUACCAAAUGGAGUUGGCAAGCUGAAAUUUACUUCGAUUUCAAUUUUACAAAAACCACCAUACGACUUCUCAAAAAGUAGCUGGAGGCUCCAAAACGACUUGAAAACCACCAGCAGACGACAUCGUAGCGUAUUAAAAUUAGUUUGAAGAAUGAAUUUUGACUUUCCAUCUCUGUUUGAUGAAAUUUUUAGGAUAAGUAAAGUUUCAAAAAUCUAUACUGGGGAGGCUCCAGUAAUUUUCAAAAAAUCGCUGGAUGCUCCAAAACGACUUGAAAUCCUCCGGUAGUUGACUUCGUAGCGUAUUGAAAUUAGUUUGUUGAAUGAAUUUCAGCUUUCCAACUCCAUUUUGGUGAAAUUUUGUGUGAAUUUCAAGUUUCAAAAAUCUGCUGGCGGCUCUAGAACUGCUCAAAACGACUUGAAACAGUUUCCAAUCGAUUUGGCAUGUCGAAAAUAGGGUGUAUCCCAAAUUUCAGCUUUCUUGGUCAAUUUGGUAAAAUUUUGAUUUUUCCCCUCAUUUUUGGCCUAAAUUUGAUUUUCAAAAAUUCACCAAAAAUCGAAAAACGCACUUUAGCACUUGAAAUUUUGACAGGUGAUAAAUUUUUGCUUGAUCUUUCGAUCUACUUUUGUACACUUUGAAAAAUGUUGUGCAAGUCCUAUGUUGGAACGCAAAAUCUGCGAUUUCGGCUGACCUGUCAAUCAAAAUGGCCGCCAUUUUGUAAGUAGGGCCACUUUUUUUUUGUAUACAAGGGCUAGAAAUGUUCCUUAGGACUCCCUCUUUAUGAAAAAAGUUGUCCCGGAGGAUCGACGGGAGGGUGCAAUAGAUCCUUAAGCGGGCUCUCCGACUAUCAGUACACAUAUUUUUUAGAUACUUAUAUAGGCUUACUAGGUACUGUUACCAACUUUGUGGAUUAUUGAUGACUUUUUUGUCCGAUAUGUUUCGACUGGCUUUUUGUACGUCUUUUGGGGUUUUUUGGGUGGUGAUGCGGGUGUUUCAAAAGCGGUACCUAUCGACGUUUUGAAUCAAAUUGCAUUCUUGCGAUUAAUGAAAGUGAGCAUCUGUGAUUCUUGAUUCAACUGCAACUACAUUCUUUAUAAUUGCUAUUAUUUGGCAUAUCUUUAAACAUACAAAAAAAUAGUAGGUAGACAAAUCGAUUUACGUAAGUACAUAUGUAUGUAAGUAUAUAAAUUAAGCUGUUUGCCUGUUUCUGCUUACUAGUGGAGGCAAAUUAGCAUCAUAUUAUUUUGAAAAUAAAUACAUUUUUGGCUACCCCAGCUUUUAUGAUGAAAAAUUGUCAAGGCUGGUCCCCUGAAUAAUUCCUGAGAAUUACCACCCCACAGACCUUGAUAAUUUUUCAAAUGGUGGAGGGGAAAUCACUAAUCAGGUGUAGGAUUUAAUUCUUUUCAAUACCGAUGCAUCAAAAAACCAUCACCAGUUAGAAUUUUACAAUUUGUUAACCAGAUGGAAUAAUUUUCCAACUUGAAAAUUAAUUUUGCCAAUAUCAGAAGGGCGAGGGGGCAAGCUGCCUUCUGCCCUCGCCAUUAUCAGUCUGGCUUUCAAUCAGAGUACAUGCAAAAACGGAAAACCAAAAUAAUUAUACUUAUCCACGAAUAGGACAAUAUGUCUCAUCCAACAUUUAGGCUAAAAUUCAACCAGUUCGAAGAAAUUCCAGUGAUCCACGAAUAGUCUUCGAGUCCUGUAACAUAUUCAAAUGAAAAAAAAAACAACCCAU